UACGUAGGGUGCAAGCGUUGUCCGGAAUUAUUGGGCGUAAAGAGCUCGUAGGCGGUUUGUCGCGUCUGCCGUGAAAGUCCGGGGCUCAACUCCGGAUCUGCGGUGGGUACGGGCAGACUAGAGUGAUGUAGGGGAGACUGGAAUUCCUGGUGUAGCGGUGAAAUGCGUAGAGAUCCGGAAGAACACCGGUGGCGAAGGCGGCCCGCUGGGCAACUGCUGACACUGAGGCGCGAAAGCGUGGGGAGCAAACAGG
rnacentral:rRNA from 1 species